rfam:Capsicum annuum cultivar Zunla-1 unplaced genomic scaffold scaffold174, whole genome shotgun sequence
ACUUCAUGAUUUGGGCAUUAGAACAAUUUUCCAUUAAACCGCUCCCAAGCUUCAAACAACAACUCUUUAUUCAAUUGACCUAAAUUCACAAUCUCAUCCUGCUUUU